UACGUAGGGAGCAAGCGUUGUUCGGAUUUACUGGGCGUAAAGGGCGCGUAGGCGGCAUAUUAAGUCAUCUGUGAAAUCUCCGAGCUUAACUCGGAACUGUCAGCUGAUACUGAUCUGCUAGAGUGCGGAAGGGGCAAUCGGAAUUCUUGGUGUAGCGGUGAAAUGCGUAGAUAUCAAGAGGAACACCUGAGGUGAAGACGGGUUGCUGGGCCGACACUGACGCUGAGUGCGCGAAAGCCAGGGGAGCAAACGGG
rnacentral:rRNA from 1 species